GAUGAAGAACGUAGCGAAAUGCGAUACUUGGUGUGAAUUGCAGAAUCCCGUGAACCAUCGAGUCUUUGAACGCAAGUUGCGCCCGAAGCCAUUAGGCCGAGGGCACGCCUGCCUGGGCGUCACACGUCGUUGCCCCCCCAUCUACUCCUUCGGGAUUGCGGGGGGCGGAUGAUGGCCUCCCGUGCGCCUCGCCGCGCGGUUGGCAUAAAUGCCAAGUCCUCGGCGACGCACGCCACGACAAUCGGUGGUUGCGAAACCUCGGUUGCCCGUCGUGUGCGUUCGUCGCGCAUCGAGGGCUCGAAAAAAUGCUCGGCUCCGGCUCGGCUUUCAACGCGACCCCAGGUCAGGCGGGGUUACCCGCUGAAUUUAAGCAUAUCAAUAAGCGGAGGA
rnacentral:misc_RNA from 1 species